AUCCAGCUGACGAGUCUCAAACAGGACGAAACGCGCGUCCUNNUU
rnacentral:hammerhead_ribozyme from 1 species